UAAGCGAAUAGUGAAAUGUGGCGGCUCAACCGUACACACUAUUAUUCGAACUGCUCGUCUCGAGAAUGGUAGAGGUAACUGGAAUUUCUAGUGUAGGAGUGAAAUCCGUAGAUAUUAGAAGGAACACCAAUGGCGUAGGCAGGUUACUGGACCAUUUCUGACACUGAGGCACGAAAGCGUGGGGAGCGAACCGGAUUAGAUACCCGGGUAGUCCACGCCGUAAACUAUGGAUACUA
rnacentral:rRNA from 1 species